UACGGAGGGUGCAAGCGUUAUCCGGAUUCACUGGGUUUAAAGGGUGCGUAGGUGGGCAAGUAAGUCAGUGGUGAAAUCUCCGGGCUUAACCCGGAAACUGCCAUUGAUACUAUUUGUCUUGAAUACUGUGGAGGUCAGCGGAAUAUGUCAUGUAGCGGUGAAAUGCUUAGAUAUGACAUAGAACACCAAUUGCGAAGGCAGCUGGCUACACAAAUAUUGACACUGAGCACGAAAGCGUGGGGAUCAAACAGG
rnacentral:rRNA from 1 species